rnacentral:lncRNA from 1 species
UUCAGAAUUUAGGUCUUUGAGAAUGAAAGAUUAAAGGUUCCUGGCUGAAUUAAAUAGUUUAGUACUAUAAACUAUACACUUUCCUCUUAGUACUACUUUCACUGUAUCCCAUAAGUUUUGGUAUGUUGUGUUUCCAUUAUUAUUUGUUUCAAGAAACUUCAAUUUCCUUGUUAAUUUCUUCAUUGAAUCACUGGUAAUUCAGGAGCAUGUUGUUUAAUUUCCAUGUGUUUGUAUAGUUUUUUGAAUGUUUUAAGGCUUGUUUUGUCGUUUUCUUUCAGACUGAAGAACUCUCUUUAGCACUUUUUUGUAGAAAAGACCUGGUGUUGAUGAAGUUCUUCAGCUUUUGUCUGGAUGCUGCUAGGAACGUUGUGUCCUGUCUGUGAGCUCCUAUGUGCUGAGCAAAUGAACAUAGCAUGUGACUUUUGGAAGAAUGAUUCAGAGACCACUUUGGAAAAAAGAUGUGCUUUUACCAGACACAAAUGAAGAUCACAUGAUUUGUCCAGUGUUUCCUCCAAGCCCUCAAAUUGUAAGAGAACCCAAGUCACUAAACGUCAAAGGUAACUUUUUAUUAAUUAAGCAAGAGACCAGAAAAAUAAAAUCAGCAGCAGAUUUUUAAUUAAUUCUACUGUAACAAUGAACCUACACAUGGUCUUUUAGGAGUCAAAUAAAAUAGGAAUGUAAACUAUGUAUUCUAAAAUCCAUGUAAAGUUCAGAAUCAGAUAUUCAGAAGGAAUGAGCCACACUACCAAUUAAAAUAUCUGUUAAAAAUUCAAGGCAGAUAAUCUAUUUUUGUUUUGAGUCUUAAAAAAUUUAUCAUAAUGGCAAAAAUGAAUGAUUGUUACUUUUGGGGACAGCCAGACUUGAGCUAGGACUUGCAGGACAGAAAAAGUCUUGCUCAGGAGGGCAGAUGAUCUAAAUUAAUUUCCAUUUUCUUUUUUUUUUUUUUUUUUGAGAUGGAAUGCUGCUGUGUUGCCCAGACUGGAGUGCAGUUGUGUGAUCUCGGCUCACUGCAAACUUCACCUUCUGAGUUCAAGUGAUUCUCCUGCCACAGCCUCCCAAGUAACUGGGACUACAGGUGCCCGCCAUCACACCUGGCUAACUUGUAUUUUUAGUAGAGAUGGUGUUUCGCCAUGUUGGUCAGGCUGGUCUCGAACUCCUGAUCUCAGGUGAUCCACUCGCCUCACAGCCCCUCAAAGUGCUGGGAUUACAGGCAUGAGUCAUCGCACCUGGCCUAAUUUCCAUUUUCUUAGUAACCAAUAUGCAUGAGUCUUAUUUUCUACCUCACACAUGAGUCUCAUUUCUUAACUCAUGAGACAAAUCUUUAUACAUUUUUCUUAAGUUAUAGAGCCCAGAACUGGACAGUUUAUUGGUAAACAUCUGUUCAGCAUUGAGCUUUCAUUUCCAUACAGGAAGGCGAACACCUAAAUUAAGCAGAAACUUACAAACCAGUUUGAGGAGCCAGCACCCAGAAGCUAGGUGCCCCCAUUAUCUUUGAAUCAAAUGUUUGUGGAGGGAAAAAUAGAAUGUUUCAAAGUACUCACGUAUGUGAUUACAUAACAAACAGUUUGGCUACUGUAAAUAAAAUAUUUUGGUCUUUUUCAACAACUUAAAACUUAUUUUAAGAAUAUUUUUUUCUGAGCAAAUGUAGGUUCCACCAAAAAUAAAAUUUUAUAAUAAUCAUCCCCUUUUAACAUAAAAUAUCCCAGUUUUCUAAUAAUUUUUUUUCUGAGACAGGAUCUCACUCUGUUGCCCAGGCUGGAUUGCAGUGGCGUGACCUCAGUUCACUGCAGCCUCGACCUCCCUGGCUCAAGGGAUCUCCCUACCUCAGCCUCCUUAGUAGCUGGUACUACAGGUGUCCACCACCACAUCCGUUUAAUUUUUAUAUUUUUUGUAGAGAUGAGUUUUCACCAUGUUGCCCAGGCUGGUCUCAAACUCCUGGCCUCAUGUGAUCCACCUGCCUCAGCCUCCCAAAGUGCUGGGAUUACAGGCGUGAGCCACUGCAACCAGCUGGUAAUUUAUAGAUAUAUAUCUGAGUUUGUUGUUUUAUACUACCUGUGCCUAUGAUGGACCUUGUUCUUACUUAAGUUUUUG